rnacentral:rRNA from 1 species
CGGACGGGUGAGUAAUGUCUGGGAAACUGCCUGAUGGAGGGGGAUAACUACUGGAAACGGUAGCUAAUACCGCAUAACGUCGCAAGACCAAAGAGGGGGACCUUAGGGCCUCUUGCCAUCGGAUGUGCCCAGAUGGGAUUAGCUAGUAGGUGGGGUAAUGGCUCACCUAGGCGACGAUCCCUAGCUGGUCUGAGAGGAUGACCAGCCACACUGGAGCUGAGACACGGUCCAG